GGCGGCGUGCCGUAACACAUAGCAAGUCGAGCGAGGAGAUUCCUCGGGAUGAUCCUAGCGGCGGACGGGUGAGUAACACUGGGCAACCUGCCUCAGUAGAGAGGAAUAGCCUUCCGAAAGGGAGAUUAAUACCUCAUAACAUUGCAGUUUCGCAUGGAACAGCAAUUAAAGGAGCAAUCCGCUAUGAGAUGGGCCCGCGGCGCAUUAGCUAGUUGGUGAGGUAACGGCUCACCCAAGGCGACGAUGCGUAGCCGACCUGAGAGGGUGAUCGGCCACAUUGGGACUGAGACACGGCCCAGACUCCUACGGGAGGCAGCAGUGGGGAAUAUUGCACAAUGGGGGGAAACCCUGAUGCAAGCAACGCCGCGUGAGUGAUGACGGCCUUCGGGUUGUAAAGCUCUGUCUUCAGGGACGAUAAUGACGGUACCUGAGGAGGAAGCCACGGCUAACUACGUGCCAGCAGCCGC
rnacentral:rRNA from 1 species